rnacentral:rRNA from 1 species
ACCGGCGCACGGGUGAGUAACGCGUACACGACCUACCUUACACAGAGGGAUAGCCCUGGGAAACUGGGAGUAAUACCUCAUAGUAUUAGAUGUUAUAAAGAUGUUUAAUUAAAGGAUUCGUCCGGUGUAAGAUGGGUGUGCGUUAGAUUAGCUAGUUGGUAAGGUAACGGCUUACCAAGGCGACGAUCUAUAGGGGGCGUGAGAGCGUGACCCCCCACACGGGUACUGAGACACGGACCCGACUCCUACGGGAGGCAGCAGUAAGGAAUAUUGGACAAUGGGGGCAACCCUGAUCCAGCCAUCCCGCGUGCAGGAAGACGGCCCUAUGGGUUGUAAACUGCUUUUAUAAGGGAAGAAAAUUAGUCAUUUAUGAUUAACUGACGGUACCUUAAGAAUAAGCACCGGCUAACUCCGUGCCAGCAGCCGCGGUAAUACGGAGGGUGCAAGCGU